rnacentral:rRNA from 1 species
UACAGAGACUGCAAGCGUUAUUCGGAUUCACUGGGCGUAAAGGGUGCGCAGGCGACCAUGUGUGUCAGGUGUGAAAGCCCGAGGCUCAACCUCGGAAUUGCGCCUGAAACUACAUGGCUAGAGUACUGGAGAGGGUAGCGGAAUUCAUGGUGUAGCAGUGAAAUGCGUAGAUAUCAUGAGGAACACCAGAGGCGAAGGCGGCUACCUGGACAGUUACUGACGCUCAGGCACGAAAGCGUGGGGAGCAAACGGG